UCUCGAGAUGAAUUGUGAGCAAAAGCUGAUGACAUUAUUAUUUUCUCAGAAACUGGAGAGCAAAUGAUCAAGCCCAAGCAUCACAGAGCUAGAACAAAGGACCAGAUCCUCACCAUUGCUUCUUGCUCCAUCUUCUUUAGAUGAGGCAGCAAACUGCAGACCCUCAGGCCAAAUGGAACCCUAAGUUCGAGAACUCUGAAUAGUUUUUGCAUUCUUAAAGGGUUGGGGGAAAAAACAUAAAACUACAGCCACUAUUUAGUGCUCUGUGGAAAUGACACAAAACUCCCAUUCCGACAUCUGUAAAUACAUUUUAUUGGCAACAUGGCCAUGCCCAUUCGCUUGUGAAUCACUUCCGGCUGCCUGCACCCUACCACAAUCCAGGCUUGUAGCUGUCACUGACCAGGUGGCCUGCAGAGCCUCAGAUCCUUACUCUCUGGCUCUGACAAAGUUUGUUGAUCCCUGAUACAGAAGAGAAGUGAGAUGACCCUCCUACACAUAGACAAAACUUUUGCUUUUUUUAAAUUAUAAAACUUUUUCAAAGAAAUACAGUACAAAGAGGAGCAAAAUGCAUCACCACAGACUUAGCACCAGGAUCAGAUAAAAGCUCUUCUCUGUAGCAGGGCACUGUCUGGAAGCAUAGGCACCAUAAGCAUGAGUCCUAGCCAGGUGUCCUGGUCCCCCACCCCGAGUGCCAGCUUCCCUAACCCCUCAGGCAAUUCUGACCCCCAUUAACCAGGAUAAGGGGAAACUAUCUUGGUACCUUUUUAAAGCAGCAACAUUACUAACAAUUAAAAAGCUGCCAUCACACAUGCACAAUAACUUUCUUGGAUUUUAAUAUGCAUAUCCAUAGUCUGAUUAUAACAGCCCAGAGAGAUUGACAGGAAAUGACUGAGUGUAAUGGCACCAAAGGAGACACUACAUUGAUCAGUAAAUAAUACACGUUUUUUGAAACUGUCUAACUGCAUAUUUACACUUGUCAACUCUUAUACGCUCUGGUGACAGAAUUCUUUUUCAGACAUCUAUGUAAAAAAACCUCUAAGACUGAUUUUUUUAAUGUUUUAUAAUAAUUACCAAAAAACACUUCUGGGAUAUAUAAAGUUUAAAUUAUAUCCACCAAAUAGUGCCACCUGGAGCAUUAAUUGCUAUAUCCUUAACAUUCUCAGUUACACAGGGCUAUUUGUGAAUAUCUCAAAAAGGUUAAAAUACAGUUGCAGGUAAUGCAGACCCAGUGCUCACUAGAUGCCAAGUACUGUAUUAAAGACUUUUCAUAGCCAACAAGGCAGAUGCUACCACUGUCCCCGCUGUGCAGAUGAGGAAGCUGAGGCCUGGAGCAUAGCCUUGACUUGGCCGCUGUAACACCAUCAGUGAGGCCUGGGGCUAGGACAUGAAGUCUACCUAACUUCAGAGACCCAGCUAUUCAGGCCUGCCCGCAGGUGUGGGCCUGGGAAUCUGCGUUGAACAUGAUUCGGAUAGCCCUGGGAUCACACUUGGAAGUACAUGGCCCCAAGGACUUGGAGGCAGAAGAGAAGGAAGGCCAGUGGGCCCUGGGUUCAGGUCCCCUCUACUCCCUCCCAAACAUUGCCCACUGCAAGAUUAGGGAGAAAAAUCUAUAACCAGUGUAUCAUAGCCCCUGGCAUGUCACAUGUGCUCCGUUAUAACAGCUACUGAACCACUGUCAUUUUUUAUAGGUUAGUCAGGGAAUGCUUGUAUGUCAGGUAAAGUCAUUUCAUCUAUAUUGUCCAGAAAAUUACUUCGAGUCUUGGCUGAUUAGGUUAGCAUCUCCUUGCCCUAAGACUCCAUAUCAAUUCAAUUACACCAGCAGCUGAGGGCUGACCAAGGUGGGGUGGAGGACAGAGAAACAGACACCUGGUUCUGUCUGGCAGAGCAAGUGGUUUAUCAACACUAGACUAGAUAAUGAUGGAGAUAAGCCCCUUACCACCGUCUCCCCAUACAUGCUUUUUUGAAAAAUUAUAAAAGUUGUCGAAUGUAUAAAGAACUAGAGAAGAUAGUAUAAUGAACUCCAUACAUCCAUCACCCAGAUUCCAGAAUAUCAAGAUUCUGCUCCAUUUUUUCUUUUCAGAAAAUGUGUAAAGGAAAUCACAAAUGACAUACCAUUCCAUCCAUACACAAUACAAUAUAUGACAUGAAGAAACAUGGAGAGAAAAAUGAGUGGAAAAGGUCGUAAAGUAAGUUCCACAGAACAUACCUGAAAUCAGCCUCCUGACCCUCUAGCCUGAGAGUCCUUCCUGGACAGGCAGAAGUCCCUAGAGCCCACAGACAAGGGCCUACAUGUGUGUGACAAAGGGGCAGGACCAACCUUGUUACUGCCCGGCCCUGGCCCUGGACGUGAAAGCCCAGGAGCCCAAGGUCUUCCCUUCCUGCCACAUUCCCUGGAGCAGCAGGCCAGCCAGUUGUCAUGUUGUGUCAGGUCAGCCAGGUCUUCACGUUGUGUCAAGGAAGAAAACUCAGCUGCUCAGAUAUCGAGGACUCCAUAAGCUUCCACCACCAAGAGCAGCUUUAUUUUAGAAGGUAGGCAAGCAAAGCAUGAAGCGCUGAGCUCAACGGCAUGGAUCUGGGAGGUUUUAGACUGAGGAAAAGGCCAGGAGGUAAGGAAUAUUUUUGAGGAAAAAAAAUCUGGAAGAAGUUAUUCCCUUUUUAUUUUUUUUAAAUGCAUAUUUCAUUUAAUUUUUCUUUUUAGGGCCACGCCUACAGCAUAUGGACAUUCCCAGGCUAAAAGUUGAAUUGGAGCUGUAGCUGCCAGCCUACACCACAGCCACAGCAAUGCAGGAUCUGGGCCACAUCUGUGAACUAUGCCGCAACUCACAGCAACACAGGAUCCUUAACUUACUGAGCGGGGCCAGGGAUUGAACCCACAUCUUCAUGGAUACUAGUCGGGUUCCUAACCCCCUGAGCCACAAUGGGAACACCUACUCCCUUUUAAAUCACUGGUUCCAUAAAAUUCCUGUGGGUAUACUAAGCUGCCAUUUUAUUUUUAUUUUUAUUUUUGGUCUUUUUGUCUUUUAGGGCCGCACCUGCAACAUAUGGUCGUUCCCAAGCUAGGGGUCUAGUCGCAGCUGUAGCAGCCAGACUAUGCCAUAGCCACAGCAACACAGGAUGUGAGCCGAAUCUGUGACCUACACCACAGCUCAUGGCAAUGCCAGAUCCUUAAUCCACUGAGCGAGGCCAAGGAUUGAACCCAUGUCCUCAAGGAUGCUAGUCGGAUUGGUUAACCACUGAGCCAUGACAAGAACUCCUAAGCUGCCAUUUUAAAUGAAGUAGGUUCCAUUUCUCCCCAAAAUGCUACAAAAUCUUCCCUGCCUGAAUCAAAUAAAGAACCAAGGCAUCCAUCCAAAGAUAAGGAUGUAGCAUGCCCUCCUGGUUAAGACACAGGCUUUGAAACUGGCCCACCUUGAGGUAAACUCUACUUGUCAAACUUGCCAUGUGAUCCUGAUCAGUAACUUGAAGACACUGAGCUUCUGUCUUCUCCACAAUAAAACCAGAAUAAUAAUAUCCUAACACAGAGAUGCUGUUAGGAUUACAUGAGAUAACUAAGGUGAUAACCAAGCCACUGCAAGAACAAU
rnacentral:lncRNA from 1 species